AUUAAAUGUUUCGCCCAGUCGCCACUCGUGUAUCGUCAACGAAACAAGACACACGUUUAUUACCAUUUAGCUUAUUUUAUUAACUCAAAAUAUUAUUUGUGACCAGUGAAUUGUUUAUCAGCCGUACCGCGUACUAAAUAUCUUUAAAAUGGGAGGGUUCGCAUGGGUAACACUCGUUACCAAUGAUUCGUAUUCCCUUGGAGCUCUUGUUCUAGCCCAUGCAUUGAGACGAGUCAGGACUAAACAUGAUCUCGCUGUUCUUAUCACUCCAGGUGUCACAGCUGCUAUGAGGGAAAAAUUGUCGGCAGUUUUUUCAUUAGUAAAAGAAGUAAAUGUUCUUGAUUCUCAAGACGAAGCAAACUUGGCACUUCUAGCGAGACCGGAAUUGGGAAUAACAUUUACCAAGUUACACUGUUGGAGAUUGACACAGUACGAAAAAUGUGUCUUUAUUGAUGCUGAUGCACUUGUGAUCCGUAACUGUGAUGAGCUUUUCGAGCGCGAAGAAUUAUCAGCAGCUCCAGAUGUGGGCUGGCCUGAUUGUUUCAACUCCGGUGUUUUUGUGUUCAAACCUUCACAACAAACAUUCGCAUCAUUAACAGCUUUUGCGACUUCAAAAGGUUCAUUUGAUGGUGGCGACCAGGGUCUGUUGAAUCUUUACUUCAGUGACUGGGCACAUAAAGAUAUUUCUAAACACUUACCUUUUAUCUACAACAUGUGCUCUACUGCUUCUUACUCUUAUCUGCCGGCAUACAAACAAUUUGGAUCAGAAAUAAGAAUAAUUCAUUUCAUCGGUAGCACCAAACCGUGGUUGCAAUAUUUUGACACUCAAACAUCACUAGUCCACCCUUCUUCGGAUUCUCAACAUCUCCAGUCCCUUCUUCAGCUCUGGUGGAACAUCUUUUGCGAAGAUGUACAUCCACAAUUGUCACCAGUCAUGCUAAGCAAUGAACACGGGGAUCCGCAUCUUAGCGAGAUCACCAGCACUUUGGCACGACGUGAGCACAAUUUAUAUGUUCCCAUUUCUCCACCAUCUAGAAAUACCAUAUCUUCAACAUCAAUUCACUAUGAAUAUCACACGUCGACAGACUCAACAUACGACAAAGUUGACAAAAUUUUUGACACGGGCUUUUAUGAAUUCAAAGAUCCCUGGGAUAGUUACGUAGAACCGACUGUAACUAGUAAUAGUAAUUAUUCUCUAAAUCACCCUUCCGAUAUUAAUCUCAAUACUAAUUCAAAUGACUCUGUUUUUGUUUGUGAGCAAAAUCAUGAAGAAUUUGAUAAAGAAUCGACGGAAAUUCCGCUUGAAAAUGGAACAAAUUUUCCAGUUUCGAUGGAUAGGUUCUGCGACACUGUAGAAAUUUCUAAUAAAACUAAUAAUAAUAAUAAUUAUAAUAAUAACAGUAAUAAUGAAAAUACUAGUAUUGAAAAAAAUUACACGAUUGACAUAAAAAAUUUUAAUUGUUAUCAAAUUAUCGAUGAAAUUUUACGUACUGACAAUUUUGAUAAAAAAACGGAACUAUCGAUAAUUAACGACAACGAACAAGUGCAAUUAGCGUUAAAUAAUUCAAAUAAUAGCUCACCGGAUCAAACAAAGUGUAAUAUAAAUUUUAAUCGUGAAGAUCAGCCAAAUGUUGUAGAUAAAACAGAAAAUUUAGUUUUCCUACCGACUGAAGAUAACAAAUUUAACGGUCACGAUCGUGCUUAUAAAAAUAAUGUGAACAGUAAACCCCUUCCUGAAUCCUAUGCAGAAUGUAAAAAUAAUGAAAAUGAGUCUCAGAUACAUUGCACUGUUGAAGUAGAAUCUGAAUGUGCUGGCAUUGCUGGAGCGCUGGCUAAAAUAACUUUAGGUGAAGCUAGGAGCCCGGAACAAGUUGCGUUGGAAGAACAUAUGAGGAGACAAAGCUGGGAACAAGGACAAAUAGACUACAUGGGACGAGACAGUUUUGAUAAUAUUUGGAAGAAAAUAUGCACAACACUUUCUAUUGUGCCUGAAACACAAGAAAGCACACCGAAAGAAACUAUUGUUGCUGAUGUAAAAGAAAAAGUUUCUAAAUCUCCAGUUGUUACAAAAACUCCGUUGACGGAAGACGAACCGGGAACGGAGGAGAGCGACUAACAGACUAUGGCGCCAUAAUAUUGCUACAUCUUGUAUUAUCGUUUUGCUUUACUGGGCAAAAGAAGUUAGCCAAGAUGUAGCAGCGGAAUGUCAUCUAAAAAAGAGCCCAGAAGAAAGCAAAAAGUCAUCCGAAAAAAGUAUCCAAGAAAUAUCAUCU
rnacentral:misc_RNA from 1 species